AUGAACGCUAGCGACAGGCUUAACACAUGCAAGUCGAGGGGCAGCACAGGUAGCAAUACCGGGUGGCGACCGGCGCACGGGUGAGUAACGCGUAUGCAACUUGCCUAUCAGAGGGGGAUAACCCGGCGAAAGUCGGACUAAUACCGCAUGAAGCAGGGAUCCCGCAUGGGAAUAUUUGCUAAAGAUUCAUCGCUGAUAGAUAGGCAUGCGUUCCAUUAGGCAGUUGGCGGGGUAACGGCCCACCAAACCGACGAUGGAUAGGGGUUCUGAGAGGAAGGUCCCCCACAUUGGUACUGAGACACGGACCAAACUCCUACGGGAGGCAGCAGUGAGGAAUAUUGGUCAAUGGCCGAGAGGCUGAACCAGCCAAGUCGCGUGAGGAAUGAAGGUUCUAUGGAUCGUAAACCUCUUUUAUAAGGGAAUAAAGUGCGGGACGUGUCCCGUUUUGUAUGUACCUUAUGAAUAAGGAUCGGCUAACUCCGUGCCAGCAGCCGCGGUAAUACGGAGGAUCCGAGCGUUAUCCGGAUUUAUUGGGUUUAAAGGGUGCGUAGGCGGCCUUUUAAGUCAGCGGUGAAAGUCUGUGGCUCAACCAUAGAAUUGCCGUUGAAACUGGGGGGCUUGAGUAUGUUUGAGGCAGGCGGAAUGCGUGGUGUAGCGGUGAAAUGCAUAGAUAUCACGCAGAACCCCGAUUGCGAAGGCAGCCUGCCAAGCCAUGACUGACGCUGAUGCACGAAAGCGUGGGGAUCAAACAGGAUUAGAUACCCUGGUAGUCCACGCAGUAAACGAUGAUCACUAGCUGUUUGCGAUACACUGUAAGCGGCACAGCGAAAGCGUUAAGUGAUCCACCUGGGGAGUACGCCGGCAACGGUGAAACUCAAAGGAAUUGACGGGGGCCCGCACAAGCGGAGGAACAUGUGGUUUAAUUCGAUGAUACGCGAGGAACCUUACCCGGGUUUGAACGCAUUCGGACCGAGGUGGAAACACCUUUUCUAGCAAUAGCCGUUUGCGAGGUGCUGCAUGGUUGUCGUCAGCUCGUGCCGUGAGGUGUCGGCUUAAGUGCCAUAACGAGCGCAACCCUUGCCACUAGUUACUAACAGGUAAAGCUGAGGACUCUGGUGGGACUGCCAGCGUAAGCUGCGAGGAAGGCGGGGAUGACGUCAAAUCAGCACGGCCCUUACAUCCGGGGCGACACACGUGUUACAAUGGCGUGGACAAAGGGAAGCCACCUGGCGACAGGGAGCGAAUCCCCAAACCACGUCUCAGUUCGGAUCGGAGUCUGCAACCCGACUCCGUGAAGCUGGAUUCGCUAGUAAUCGCGCAUCAGCCAUGGCGCGGUGAAUACGUUCCCGGGCCUUGUACACACCGCCCGUCAAGCCAUGGGAGCCGGGGGUACCUGAAGUCCGUAACCGCGAGGAUCGGCCUAGGGUAAAACUGGUGACUGGGGCU
rnacentral:rRNA from 1 species